GCAAGUCGAACGAGAAAGGGAUUGCUUGCAAUCCCGAGUAGAGUGGCGUACGGGUGAGUAACACGUGGAUAAUCUACCUUUGAAUCCGGGAUAACUAUUCGAAAGGGUAGCUAAUACCGAAUGAAGUCAAUAUUCCUUUGGGGUGAUUGAUGAAAGACAGCCUCUGCUUGCAAGCUGUUGUUUGAAGAUGAGUCCGCGCACCAUUAGUUUGUUGGUGGGGUAAUGGCCUACCAAGACAAUGAUGGUUAGCUGGUCUGAGAGGAUGAUC
rnacentral:rRNA from 1 species